GCCCUCACCCCCCCACCCCUGCACCCUAACUCUCAAUUUUGUGAGCAUUCGUGGCCUGCCAUGAUUUCCAUACCCAGAUGUGGCUCUCAGGCCAAGAAGUUUCCCCACCCCUGGCUCUGCCCUUGAAUAAUCUGCAAUUAAUUCUGCCCUGUGUGAUAUCAUACAAAAAUCAUAUGUCUCAUCCCUCUCUGCCAAAGCCUGAAUAACGUCCAACACAUGACCUUCUUGAUAGAUAUUUAUUUUACAGUUAAAUAAAUCAGGUGGAUCUAAUUUCCUGUUCACAUGGACACAUGUUUGUCCAGUCUGAUAUCUGCCUGCAUAUUUCUGUGGCUUCUUCCCUCUCCCCCAAGAGGUUCCUAUGACGUCAUUUCGGUGCAAGAUGAUGACACUUAGACCAUUAGUCAGCAAAACACAUGAGCACAUGCCUAUGAUUUUCAUGAACUGGGGCCCAGCACUUUGCAGGAUAAGGUCCUUUCUGUACAAAGAAAUUCAUUGCCGUACUUAAAGUGAACCACCACUUCUAAACAUGUUUAUAUUUUGAAAACAAAUACCACAAUAAUGCCACUUUCUGUUAUUGCAGUGAAAGCUGGAGAAACAAUGUUUGUUUACAGCCAGCACCCUACUGCAUUUUUAUCCCUAGAAGGAAAAGUCCAGAAAUAAUCCAACGUUAUGUUUAAAAUACUCAUAUUUAAACAUACAAGCAAUAUAGACCAAAUACAUGAUUCCCCCUCUCCCUUCCCCUCCCCCUCCCAGUUUUGAAAUGACUCAUCUGACUUGCACUGAUUUUUAACUAUGCCUCUCCUCCCUGCUGGCCCUUUACAGGUGCACACAUCUUGUGGUGGCUGGGUGUCACCUUCUCCUGCAUCAUCUUCUUUCAGAUAGCAGCAUCCAGGAACUCUGGAGAAUGGGAAAAGGGAGAGCUUCUAAAUAGCUGUGUGUUACCAGGAGAAUAGAUGCAGCAGGCAGGCUCCCCCGUCGACUUUGCGGUACUCCUCUCGCCGAGACAAAACGUGAUAAGUCGAACCCAGAAGUUUGAUUUGCUUGCCGCAGAACUACCGGGUAGUGUAGAUCUACCCUUAUGGUAACAUAAGAAUCACUAAAAUGAUGCACAAUGAAGUAAAAUGUCAAAUUAAUAUUUUUAUAUGUAAUAGGUGGGAAAACAUGUUAAUGUUUAUAAUCAUUAGAAAUACAUCAACCAGCCAGCAAACGUAGGCAGAGCUGAUAGCCAAUUUUUGAAAUAGACCCAUUAACUUUAUUUUAGGUUACAGCACCUUGUACUACCUUGUUUGCUGCUCCUGUCAGAGCUCACAAGCUAAGUAUGGUUGGGCAGGGUCAAGUCUUGGACGACACCCAUUCACUCAAGGACUAUGUGCCACUGGAAGUGAUGUAUAUGAUCUAGCAGGUGGCACUCUUCCCUCCAAAUCAAUGCUGAACCGGUACCUCAGCCUCCACAUCUGUAAAAUGAGAAUAACACUUGCAAUUAACUAUCUCACAAGGCUAUAAGUGACACCUGUUGCAGUGGCAGUCUUUCAGGUGAACAGAGGUAAUCAGGGCAGAGGUCACUUAAAAAUCUUAUGGCUCUUUUCAGAAAAAGACUUGGGCUGUUGCUUGGUGUCAUGGCCAAAUUCCAGGUCAAGUAACAACUUGCUGCUCAAUUAAAUUCUCUGUGCUGUCUCAGCAAGAAAAGGACAUGAAGAAUACACUUUCAAAAGUUCAUAGUAUUGGCAUGAUGUGAGCUGUUAAACAGUUUCUUAUUCUGCCCUGUUCCCAGAAGCAACUGCAUUUCAAAAGUAGAUACAGGGAUCCUUGUGUGUAAGUUUGUAAAGUGCUAGGGAAUACUUUGGGAUGAAAGAUGCUAUAUCAAAAGUAAUAUCACUGCAUCAUUCAAACUUCCAACUGACAUCCCGUGGGGUUAUUUCUAAUUCUUACUGGAUUACUUUGAUCAGAGUAGGGGCCGGGGAGUCAGAUUCUGGCUUUGCCACUGACUGACUUUGUGACCUUGGGCAAAUGACUGUACCUGCUCUGUGCCUUAUUAUCCUCAUUUGUAAACUGGAGAUAAUACCUGCCAUAAAGGGGUGUUGGAUAGCCUCUGUGUAAUGCACCCCCACCAGUAUGCAGCCUAGUGCAUGGGACAUGCCUCGAGCAGUGAGUAUGUCAGUGUAAAAGGUAUUUUUUCUUUUGCUCUCAUUGUUAAGACUCUGCUGUAGUCUAGAAAACUACAAAUACCCAAUGGACCAAGAAUUGCAUGGGAUAUUGUCAUUUUAACUUUUAAAAACCCAAACCCAACAAAAUACAACCCGUGGCUUUUGAUUCUUCCCUCCCCUGUGGAUAGGCCCCUGGCAGGUUAACUGGCACACAGGUCACAGCAUUUGUAUUGAUAUGUUAAACAAGCCAAAUAAUGACAAGUCUAUCUUUGGAAAGCUUUGAGAAGAAAUUACAUAGCUUGAUAACCAGUAUAAAGUUUAGCUCACAGUCACUAUAGUUAAAAGUGAAGCUAGAGCAAACAGACAAGAGAACCUAUAUUAUAUAUUUAGCAAUGAAGUGCUGCUACACUUCAACUAGUUGUCACAACAAAGUUUUGUUGAUAAACGGUAGCUCUGUACAACUGCCAAAUUAAACUCGGGUGCUUGCCUGGAUUGGGAGUUGACUCAUUACUCAGAUAAAAUUAUUAAUAGUUUCUGAAUAAAAUCAUUCAGAGCAUAUAGUAAGAACUGCCAAAGAGGAGUCUUAUUGAUUUUUCAACAGUUAUUCACCAUGGUAAGCGGAUUUGUGUCUGCAUGCAAACUUUUUUUUAUCCAAUGUAAAAUGUCUACAAAUCCUACCAUCUGAUUACUUUCAGAUUAUAUGCCCAAGAAUGCAGGCCCAUAUCCGUAUUGUGUAUAGCAACAGGAAAGGAGUGCUAAUUCAGCAGCACCGUGAAUGGUAAAGACAUGCUAUAAAUACACCUAACAUAUAAAGAAUAAAGCAAGCAACAGUAUUCUGAACACGAUGCCUUUGGGAAUUAUGUGGAAAGGAAAACUUGCAUAAAUGUGUGAGCACAUAUCUCUCUGUGUGUGUUAAUAUACUUUGUUAUGCUGGGAAUUGGGUGAAACCUCAUUGACGUUGGUGGGCCCAACAAUCGCCCUUGAUUCAGGAUAAAGUUAGAAAGUAAUUAAGCUCCUUUAUGGAAUAGAUAGCUGAAGCAAUAGGAGCCACUGUUGAAAACAUAAGCCACAUGUAAGGCUGGAGUAAGAGUGGAGCCAUGCGUUCUGAGGGUUUUCCCUGGGGUCUGAAUGAAAACACAAGGGGCUGGGUAUUGUUUGAUGGAGGCCAGAGAACCACUUGAGGCCACUAGAGCCUGACUUUCAGAGGAACUGUUAUAUUGUGGGCCUUUCAUAAAGGGUUGCAUGCUGAGCUAAUCAGAAGGGAUUUUAAUAGGUGAAUAUUAAGAAAAAAACUGUCAUCACAAUUAAUUAGUUUUUCCGUUCAGAAAGAUUCUGGUUCCCUUUCUCCAGCAGCCUUGAUGCUGAACUGACUACCUGGCAGAGAGGUAUUUCGUGUUUAAUCUCAAUGUUGUUAGCCAUGCAGGGUGAGGGUGAAAUCCACAUAUGAAGCAGGAGUUUACCACAGAAAGGGAAGUCCUUUGAUUUGGCCUGAGAGGUUAACUACCUAUUUUACCAGGAGAAGAAACGACAGGCAGCACCUCACCCACUGUCAGAGGUUUUCCUAUCACUGAUACAAGGAGCCUGCUCCAAUAGUCCCUGAACUCAGUGAAAAGAUUCUCAUGGACUUGAAUGGAUGUUGGAACAGGGCCAAAAUGAGGAUUUAAUUUAUAAAGCAGUGCGACUUAGUUGAACAGCUUUUCAGACCCAGCAGUUAGAAAAAGGAAUUUUAAGGGUAACUUGAUGAGGAAAGCCAACAAGGAGUGACAGAGGUCGCAGUGGAUGUGAGGUUUCUGAGGAUCUGCAGGGAAGGAUUCUCAGCUCCUUAGAGGCAAGUCUGCAUGAACAACUGAUGCUGCUUCUGCUGUGCUGAACCCCCAACUCCACCUUCCCCCCUGGAGGGCAGCCAGAAGAGAAUGGAAUCAGCCAGGAAUGGAGAGAGCAGCUUGCUUGAACUUACUCCUGCAGCUGAAGCACAUUCAAGCCCGUCAAGCAGUUUAACAGGAAAAACCACUGAGCCUGAAACUUCUGAGAUGGUGUCCUGGAAUAGAACAUGUGGGCAAAACAAUGGGGACUAUAUGGUGGCAGGACCCAAUCCCGCACUGCGCGCAGUGUGAAAGUGCAACACACCUUCAAGGGGAGUUCUUGAAAGUAUUGUUCCUUAGGAAGGCAGAAUACACACUAGAACUUCCAGAGAACACAGCAACUGCACUUUCCUUACAAAGUGUUCUGUGACAUGACAAAUCUCCUGUGUGCCUCAGUCUGGGUGACUGUCAAGAAUAAUAACCUUUGCUUACCUCACUAAGAAGAGCAUCACCUCCCCUGAGGCUGACUGGCCUUCUGUCACUGGCAGAAACUGAUGCUGAAUUCCUAGAAUGUACAUAGGAGGAGCCUUUACAUCUUGAGAUUGAUCAUCUUGAGACUGAUAACCAUGCACUUCAGGGAAAAAGCAUUUGCUCUGCAAAGAAAUUUCAUCCUCUGCCUCACCACAAGAUUCUGCCCAGGCUGCAGCAGCAGUGGUGACUCCUCCUACCUGUGUUUUCCCCCACCCCCCCAAAGGCUUUCCAGUAAAGGUAACAGCUAACAGGCUGAGGAAACCUCACGGCCAUUUCCUGUACGUGAAGCUUCUGUGUACAAUCUCAUGUGUCGAGUGAUACGUCAAUGCCCUCAGCUGGAUGGAUUAUCAGAUCAAUUCAAGUGCUGAUCAGUUUGCUAAACUAUAUGAUGAUGGAGCCCUGAGAAGAGGUUUAAGCCCUAAUACUACUGACAAGUAAUGGAGAGUCAUCUUCUUCCUUUUUUUCCCUUUUUUUCAUUUUUUUAGUACUUGAAAACAGUACUGGAUACUCAACAUUGGUGAUAUUGAAGUCUUAAUUAUCUGAGGAUGGGUACAGAAGAUGGAAAGCUCCAUUACACCACCCCACCAAUGCUAAGUGGAGGUUGAAGGGACAAUUAAAUCUCCAUGCCCUCUGUUCAGACUUUGGCUGCUCUUGAGUUUGAAAAUGAGGGUGCUAAUGUCAAUGCUAAGUUUUGUGAUAUGGAUAUCUGUCUCCUGGAAACUGGACUGAACCCCCCUCCCCAAAAAUAAUUUCAUGUAGGUGUUAAAAUAGCCAAUGGAAAAGUAACAAUUCUAAUGUUCUGGACUGGAUUACAGUUGGCAAUAUACAUGUUGCUUUAUCAUUCCUUUUUAAUAUUCACCUAACUCAAAUUAUAGUCUUAUCUUGUCAUAGCUAAAGUCAUUCGUUUAAUUUAUGCACCCUGGAGGGAGGGAACAUGUCUACAUCUCUGUCUGCACAUCACUUGGCACAACAGGCUCCUGAUGCUGACUAUAGAUAAAUAAUAUAGCAAUAUUAAUAAUUAAUGGAGAAGAGCUUUCUAUUGCCCCAACUCUGCAAAAAAAAUUACACCUUCUGAGGAUAUGGCAUAGUAUAUGUAAUACUACAUUUUUGUGGCCUAAUAUGUGACUUUGAAAGAACAGUUCUGUUUCAAAAUAUCAGCUUGGUUCCAAUGAGAUGUUAACUGAAAUUUAAGGCUCAGUUUAGAUCAUAAAAAUAAUUUUGUGAAUUCUAGAAGUAAAUGUUUUGGUUUUGCAGGCAAGGUUAUUUUUUAGUAUCUAAACAUUAAGAGGGGUGAAAUUUUUUUGUCCAAAUCUUUUUUUUCCAUUGAAAAACGCAGAAUCAGGUUGAUUCAAAUUGAAUUCAACAAAUGGUUUUAAUCUAAAAACAAAACAAAAUGGAAAUGGUGAAACAGUUAAUUUCAGCAUUUUCAAAAUGCAAAAAUUUGACUUCUUAGCACAGAACAAAGUUUUGUUUUGGAAUUUCCCUCAUUUCCCCCCCCCGCAAAAAUUAAAACCAGGUCUAUUCUUAAAAAACAAAAAACCACCAGCCCUCAAAAUCUAAAUGAAACAUUUUGUUUCCAGUUGACCAAAAAACAGUUUUUGUGGUGUGAGAAGUGGGGAGAGGAGUUUGCACCCAAAUUGAAUAUUUAGUUAUUCACAUUGCAUUGUUGGAGAGAGCUAUGUGGCUGAUGCCUAUUGCUGAAUUCUGAGCCAACUGCCUCCAUCUAUACCCUGGGCCUAGAUUACCUUUCCCUACUAAGAAGUUGAUGCUAGGGGUUGGUUUGUUUGUUUUCUACUGACCUUAUUCUAUUUUUUUUAAAUAGUUCCAUAUUUAGCAAGGAAAAUUAAUAUGCAGUCAUGAAAAAUAUCCUGUUUGAUUAUUUAUGAUUAUGGUUUCAGAGUGUGUUUGGUCUGUUUCCAAAACAAAUAGUGACGUUUCAUUCGUUGUGAGUAAAAAUGUAUUAGUAGGUUCCACAACUUUGAGUCAUCCACACUUCAACUUGCACCAGGAAUUUGUGAUCGAUCCUCUUAAAGUUGUCAUCUUAAUGGGCCAUCUUGUAUGUCCAAUAUACUACUAUGCACCACCAAGUUCAUUUUCCAUCUUUUGAGAAGAUUCUUUGCUAUUCACAAGUAAAAUCUUAACUAACAACUUCCUUGAGUUUUAUGCACUUUUCUCAAUUUGCAAAUAAUGAACUAUGACUAACAAAUGAUAUCAUUACCCAUUUUAACUAAAAAAUGUAAUAAAUAAUGUAAUAAAUAAAUCAAACAUGGGAACCAGACACUACAUCAAUAGCAAUAAACAUUUAACUUGUCUUCACUGAACCCGGAAACAAAAAAUAUUAAAAUAGAAAGUGUCCAGUAUAAUAAUGGCUUUACAUAAUUUAAAA